GGGGUUGUGGCUCAGAGGUAGAGCGCUCGUCUUGCAUGUGUGAGACCCUGGGUUCGAUCCUCAGCACCACA
rnacentral:tRNA from 1 species